GGGCCGCUAGUCUAGCCCGGCUAUGAUGUCUCGCUUACAAAUCGAAGGUCGCUGGUUCAAAUCCGGCGCGGCCCACCA
rnacentral:tRNA from 1 species